GGCGGCGAUCCUCGACUUGGUUGAGGGAGAGACUAAGAACCUCUUUCCCGAAAGGGUAUCUGGGUUCAAAUCCCAGCGCCGCCG
rnacentral:tRNA from 1 species